rnacentral:sRNA from 1 species
UUACGUUAAGGAUUGAAGCGACAUCCUUUUUAUUUUAUUAUAAAAAGAUAUAGCGUAAAGCCUGCAAAUAU